UUCAGAUUUGUUUUUAACGGAAAUGAGUGAUGCAGUUGACUUUGUUGUCAGCACUUUUGUUCAGGAUUUUAUCAAUAGUUCAGCAAACAUUGAAUUAACCACUGUUAGCAGUACUGUUAAUGACUUAUCGGCUGAACCUCAGAAUACGGUUAAUAGUUCUUCAUACCCUGAAUUAUGUGAAGUGAAUAGUAU
rnacentral:lncRNA from 1 species